GCCUUCAAGAUAAACAUCUUGACGUUGGAUAUCAAGUUGUCAUCUUCCAUCUUUCACAAUAAUCCUGCUGCCACCUAUGCUAAGAGACGGUGCUAUUGUGACAGUGGGAGCAAACCUGGGAAUCCUGACCGAACUGUCCAAGGUCUAUAAAUUUGCCUCUAACAGUUCACAGAAUAUUUACUGGCAUACACUGAAGUAUGUCACAAGAGGCUAUUUUUUAAGAGACCUAAAUAACAAAGAGGAACGAAGACACUUCCGGAGGUUGUGGACACGUUCAGGAUUCUAAUCGUGGAGACAGCUUUCUCAGCUAUUUACAUCCAUCAAAACUCAUCAAAUGAGACCAGCAAAACCUCUGAAGCCCAGCCCUCGGAUGGAAGAAAGGAGGCUGUGAUGAGAAAGGAAAGAUCACUGAACAGCAG